AUUGAACGCUGGCGGCAGGCCUAACCCAUGCAAGUCGAACGAGUGGCGGACGGGUGAGUAAUGUCUGGGAAACUGCCUGAUGGAGGGGGAUAACUACUGGAAACGGUAGCUAAUACCGAAUACCAUCAGAUGUGCCCCGAUGGGAUUAGCUUGUUGGUGGGGUAACGGCUCAACAAGGCGGCGAUCCCUAGCUGGUCUGAGAGGCUGACCCACCAACAUGGAAAGGAGACACGGUCCAGAAUCCGACGGGGGGCAGCCGGGGGGAAUAUUGCACAAUGGGCGCAAGCCUGAUGCAGCCAUGCCGCGGUUAUGAAGAAGGCCUUCGGGUUGUAAAGUACUUUCAGCGGGGAGGCGUUACCCGCAGAAGAAGGAACGGCUAACUCCGGGCCAGCCGCCGCGGUAAUUA
rnacentral:rRNA from 1 species